AUACUAACCUUUAACGGGAGAUAUGGCGAUGGCUCAGGGCAGCUUCUUUCUCCUCCUGAUCUUCUUCUCUUCCUUUAUAUCUACUAAUAACACUCUUUAUGCAUCUGCUUCCAACCAAGCUCAACACAGGUCACUUGGUCUGUCAUCUACUCCCUCAAACCGAAUUUCUAUUCAUUGUCAGCCUCGUCGGAUGGGCAUUACCAAGUGUAAUCACAACGGUUUGGUCUCCGCCUUUGAUGGAGGCGGCACCCCCCUUGGAGGGAUCAUUGGAGGACGUCAUCCAGUACCAAGCGCUCCAUAGUGCCUUCAAACUAUAUAUAGUCAAAUAGGGAAUAUGAAUAAGAGCAAUAUUAAGUAAGAGGGAACACUAAUGUUGUUCACUCUUGCUGUUGUGUAAUACAAGCCCUAUUUUACUCACUAGCUAGCUACUUCAUGUACUGUGACAAUUCAACAUAAGUAUCCUAUUCCUAUAAGGAAACUGUUACAAAUAUUUCUAU